rnacentral:lncRNA from 1 species
CAAGUAAAAAUAUUAUACUAUUAUCUAAUAUUACUUAUUAUUUGAAAAUUAUGCGUAAAGCAUAAUAUAAGUUUCAAAAUAGAAAAAAUUAUGUUUAAUAAAUUAUGAUAUAAUAUAUAAAAUAUGUUAUAUUAUUAUAAUAAAUCGGAUCGGAUUGGAUCGACAUAUAUUCAUAUUUGUUCCAUUUAGUUAACGGAUUAUCGAAUUCGGAUCUUAAUCGGAUUAUGAGAUUGAAACUUUAAAUCCAUCUCUCGUUAAUUUCAUCGGAUUCGGAUUAAAAUUCAAUCCAUUGGCUGCCCUAGUCUCGGUACACUCGUAUUAACUAAAGACAAACUUGACGUCAAUUCAUUAUAUUUAGUAGGUUCGUAAAUUGCAAAGUUCCGUUGCUAACAGGAGCAAAAUAUUAAAGUUAGUCCUGUUCAACGGUUAGUUUUGAUAUUCUAGUUUUAUGUCCCCAACAUAUAAGAGAUUUUGGCUAACAUCGAGAUUUGAUGGUCAUCACAAGUUUUGUUAGGAUUAUCAAUCUUUAUAGUUGCUUCAAUUUCUUGCUUUCUUUGAAGGUGGUGACAUAAUUGGUGAAGCUUCGCUUGAUAGUUCAUUGGCCAUUUAUUGCUUUUGCUAGAGAGAAUUAUCGAGGAUAAUUUUUUAUAUUCGAAGGUAUUGUUGGGAAGAAAUAAUAAAGUUUUUCAGACAUAAAUGUAAUAGAAUAAUAUAAUUCGAAAUAUAUAACUACAGUAGAGGCACAUGGUUAGAAUAAUAGUUUAACUUUGUAGAAAUUAAUUAGAGUAUUAUGUAAUAUGAGAGAGUUAUUAAUAGAAACUUUCAUAUAAAAA